UUAGCUCUCUUUGCCUUUUGGCUUAGAUCAAGUGUAGUAUCUGUUCUUAAAAGUUUAAUCUCUUUUAUGGUCUAUUGACCAAAAUUUGAUUAUCCCUAUUUUUGUCACCCGGAGACCGUCCCUCUGGGCUUGCCCAUGGACGGACUUCACUGUGUCCCUGGUAUUACACUGCCUCCAGGCGACGCGAACCUAU
rfam:Coniochaeta ligniaria NRRL 30616 unplaced genomic scaffold CONLIGscaffold_2, whole genome shotgun sequence.